rnacentral:rRNA from 1 species
UACGGGGGGGGCAAGCGUUGUUCGGAAUUACUGGGCGUAAAGGGCUCGUAGGCGGCCAACUAAGUCGGACGUGAAAUCCCUCGGCUUAACCGGGGAACUGCGUCCGAUACUGGAUGGCUCGAGUGUGGGAGAGGGAUGCGGAAUUCCAGGUGUAGCGGUGAAAUGCGCAGAUAUCGGGAGGAACACCAAUGGCGAAGGCAGCUCGCUGGGACGGUACUGACGCUGAGGCACGAAGGCCAGGGGAGCAAACGGG